rnacentral:rRNA from 1 species
GACGAACGCUGGCGGCGUGCCUAAUACAUGCAAGUUGAGCGCUGAAGGUUGGUACUUGUACCAACUGGAUGAGCAGCGAACGGGUGAGUAACGCGUGGGGAAUCUGCCUUUGAGCGGGGGACAACAUUUGGAAACGAAUGCUAAUACCGCAUAAAAACUUUAAACACAAGUUUUAAGUUUGAAAGAUGCAAUUGCAUCACUCAAAGAUGAUCCCGCGUUGUAUUAGCUAGUUGGUGAGGUAAAGGCUCACCAAGGCGAUGAUACAUAGCCGACCUGAGAGGGUGAUCGGCCACAUUGGGACUGAGACACGGCCCAAACGCCUACGGGAGGCAGCAGGAGGGAAUCUUCGGCAAUGGACGAAAGUCUGACCGAGCAACGCCGCGGGAGUGAAGAAGGUUGUCGGAUCGUAAAACUCUGUUGGUAGAGAAGAACGUUGGUGAGAGUGGAAAGCUCAUCAAGUGACGGUAACUACCCAGAAAGGGACGGCUAACUACGUG